rnacentral:lncRNA from 1 species
GAAAAGCUUAGAGAUGAAUUGCUUGAUUGAGAUUGCGAGUAUGGCUAAGGCUAAGCGAGGAGUCAGAGUUAUAGAAUAUCCAGAGGACAAGUGGAAUGUCCAGGGAGAUUGUCAAGGUUGGUUCUAGAUAGAAUUGUAUUGAUGAGAUUCAGUUGUAAGUCAUAAUUGGAAUAGAUUGACAGUGAUUCUUCUUAUCGAAGAUGAUCUGAGAUUGUAAGAUAUUGUUUAUUGAUAGUGGUUGAUUCUGAUUUCAAUACUGUAACCUGGAUGCGAUCCUGUUUUUAGGGGGUUAAAGUGUUUUCUUUUAAAUCUUUUAUUAAAGUCUUCAAGUUUUAAAUGCUUUGAUUUUUAUUUUCUCCUCAAAAAUACAGGUUUUCAAAAGUGUUUAAAAAUGGGUUUUGUGUGGUGACGUCAGAAUCCAGACCCCCGGAUUCUCGGGCUGUCACAGUUGGUAUCAGAGCAACAGGUUAUAAGUUAUUGAAAUUAGAAUAUAGAUUGUGGUUAUAAGUUUUAUAGAGAAAAAGUGUUCAGUGACCUCAUAUAGAGGUAUUGUGAGACUGUCUGGGGAUAGUCUAGAGAGGUAAUCGGAAUAGAAUCUAGAUAGUUAAUUAAGUUGAGGGUACAUGUUUAGAUAGAUCAUGGUUCCUAAGUCUAGAUACUUGGUUUCUAGUAUGGGGACUGAUUGAGAUAGUGAAUUGUGAUAAGGGUCAGAGUCGGACCUAGUCAAAAGAGUAUUAAUAAUGAAUGAUUAAGUUAAGAAUGAUAAAGAUGCAUGGUUUGGAGUAUUCUGACCAUGUUACAUAUUUGAAAGUGGUUUAUCGUUUGAAUUGAAAUGUAGAAGAAUGGAUGUUGAAUAUGAGAUAUUGUGAAUUAGAAAGAGAAUUUUGUAGAUAGAUGUGAUGUGAAUGAUAGAGAGUAGGUGGAAUUGAGUCUAGUUAUCAGAAGUAAUAUUGUGAGUGAGAUAGAACGUUAGUCUUAACGACGACGCUUCAAGCUAACCGGCAUUUCAUCUGCUAUCAAGAUGAACCUGCUUCAUUGCGAAUGAUAAUGUCUACAAGGAAAUCUUACGAGGCUAUCACGAGUUAAUGAUGAUCGAUUAUCGAGAACGUCGAGAAGAGGACAUACAUUGAACAACGAUUUAUGGAAGUAGAGCAGGAAUUUGAGAAGACCUUGGCAAUAUCUUUCUUCAACAAAAGCUUAUCUUAAUUCUUUUCAUCAUCAUUAAGUCCUUAUUAGGAUACCUUUUCUACAAAAAGUUUUGAUAAAUGAGAUAUUCUAUUUCUCGAAUGACGAGAAAACAUUGGUAUUGAUUAUUGAUAUUGGUAUUGAUUCUUGGUGUGUGAUAAAGGUAGAGCAGGAAUUUGAGAAGACCUUGGCAAUAUCUUUCUUCAACAAAAGCUUAUCUUAAUUCUUUUCAUCAUCAUUAAGUCCUUAUUAGGAUACCUUUUCUACAAAAAGUUUUGAUAAAUGAGAUAUUCUAUUUCUCGAAUGACGAGAAAACAUUGGUAUUGAUUAUUGAUAUUGGUAUUGAUUCUUGGUGUGUGAUAAAAGUUAUUGUGAGAAGACAAUGAUAUUUCUUGAUAUUUCUUGAGAUUCUUUGAUAUAUAUCUUGAUUCUCUUGAUAUUCUUUGGUAUUCUUUGAUAUUCCUUGGUAUUACUUCCAUCUGAUUGGGAUGAACAACCCUAUGUAUAGGGGACACAAGGUAUACCUGUCUGUGUGAUAGGAGUUGGAUGGGACGCCAUCACUUGUGUGUGUUGUACUUACAAGAAGGUUAACAACCUUUAGUAGUGUCUAAUAUGGGCACGCAACACUAAGUUCGUUUGAUCAUAUUGAUCUCUCAGUCACUCUCUUAUUUAAACAUGACCUAUUUUGCAAACAUCUUGUUCACAUUCUAAAUCUCAAGGAUUGAUUCUUGGGAAAUGAAUUCUGCAAUUGUGAAAGAUUGAUUCUCCUAUUUCUUUAAAGUUAAAGGUAUGCCAAGGUCAUUUAAAGGUGGGGAAUGAUAUUACGAAGUUUUAGUUCUCUUCGCGGAUUCUGAGGACAGAAUCCUUAUAAGGAGGGUAGAAUGUAACAUCCCAGAUUUUCAGAAUUAGUUUAUUAAUUUAGAAAUAAAUUUUUGAAUAUUAUUAUUGGUUUUAGUUGAUUUUUUUCUGAUGAGAUGAAUGAUCUGUGUAGUAUGAGUAUAAUUUUGAUGUGGAAUUAUAAGGUUUAAACAGAUUAUGCAUUCUUCUUCUGUGAUUUCGUAUAUUUUCACGACCCGGAUUUUUCAAAAAUUGUUUAUUGUUAUGAAAGUUAUUUUCUUAGAAAGGAGGAAUAAAAUUUAAUAUUUUAUUCCAGUUUGAUAAUUUUCAAAAAUAUUUGUAUAAAUUAUUUUCCUUGUCAUCGGGGUUAGGGGAAAAUAUCUGUUCAUCGUGCAGUUAUCUGUUACGAGAUUUAAUUGAUUUAUUUGUGUACGAUUAUGUCUGUGUGCAUUUAUUUCUGCUUUUGAUAUUAUUAUAUUACUUUAUUAAAAUUUAUUAUCUUCUUAAAUGGAUAUUAUUUUUGUAAAAAUACAAAGAUAAUUUGAAAACUUAUUUUAAUUGCUUGAUGGUGAUCAUAAAUAUUUUUAGGAGUUUAUAAAAUAUUAAGAAUCUUAUGUCUAUAUGGUCGGAUUUUUAAUUAGUUUCUGAAGCAUCUAACCUCUAAAUUUUGUAUAAGUUUCGAAAAUGCUCUGUAAAUCCCGAAACUUUUAUUUAAUUAGUUUUAUAAUAUUCAUGGAUUUGUAAAAUUAUUUUGGUGAUUUUUCGGGAAUGUUUUAUUAUGAAUAGUAUCUGUAAAUAAGCUAAUUGCGGGUAUUAGCCAGGGAUUGUUCUACAAAAAAUAGGACACGCAGCAGCAUGAGAGUGUGACACGUACCCCUAUAUUCCACCGCCUGUACUCCCUUUCUUCUUUCCUUUUCUUAAUGUCAUCACUUUUGAAACCUCAAGUCUCGGUCUCUCCUACCUCUCGUUCUCUCCCCAACUGAGUGUUCUUUUCCUCCUCCCUGCCUUUUUCAUUCCUGCAGCUGUGUGAUUAAUUGGGGGAGAGUGAAAUUAGGGUUUGUCCGUCUUCACUCAAUCAAAGGUAAUCAACUCUCGUUUUGAUUAAUUGUGAUUCUUAAACUUGAUUAUAUGCAUAAGUGUCUGUAUACUUGUGUAUGUAUGUAUUUGUGUGGCUGUUCGUUUCGACUGGAGAUGAUGACAACACUGUUGGUGGAGGGCCGUGGUGGUGAUGUGGUGGUGUAUAUAUAGCUGUGUGUUAUGUUCUUAAAAUGGGUUUUUUUGUGUAAUUUGAGUUGUGGUGUUAGAAUUGAGGCAAUUGUUGUCAAGCUUCGCAGCGGUAAUGUCCUGUUUUGUAGCUUUGUUCUAGGACUAUUAAGUUCAAUUACUAUGCUUAAUUUCCCUGUGAUUAUAUGCUCCUUGAAGUCUAGAUUAAGUGCGAAAAAGAAUUUCAAAGUUUCGUUAAAUGAGCUAAAAGUUAUGAAUUAAUUAGUGACUCUAUGUCUAGAUGACAAAAUUCUGCUAUGUGACAUAUGUGUGCACUGCCCUAUUUUGACAUGUGUAUUUCAAACUGAUAUAAGAUUAAUUGGUGAAUGGAUUGAUUUAUAUUGAUGUCUCUUAAGGUAUAAAAUCAGUACCAAAAGGAUUUAGGUUGAUUGGAUUAAUAAGAUUAAAGUUAUGUUAGAUUUUUAAGAGAUAUGCUACAUGAUUAGAUGCUGAGUAAUAUGUUAUGAUUUUGAUGUGUCUUGUAUGCAAAGUCUGUACAACAUAGAAUAGAAUUAAAAUACUGAACCUCUGAGACUAUAUGCUAUGUGGAAUCAAGGAUCUAUGCCAAGUGGAAUUAAUCAAUUUGGAUUAGUAAAUAUUAAGAUAUGAAUUUUUAUGUGUACGGUGUUAUUAGAGCCCUGCUGUGAUGCUUUCUCUGCACCAUGUUGAACUUCCAAAAUUUAUACUAAAUUAAUUAUGUGUUGGAACUUGUUUGUUUGACCUCUGUAACUUAGCUAUUCGAGUUCUAUAUGAUUUCUAUUCUCUGAGUUCCUUGAUUUGGUGCUUAUAAAAUGAAUUUCUAAAAAUACAAAAAUGAUUUGAAAAAUUCUUUCAAUUACUUGAAAAUUAUAAUGAAUAUUUUUAGGAGUUUUUAAAAUAUUAAAUAUAUUAUUUUUGUAAAAGUUUGAUGUUUAAAUAUUUUCUGAACGCAAUUAAUUUCUAAAUUGCGUAUAAAUUUCAUAAGUACUCGAUAAAUCUCAAAACUUUUAUUUCAUUGGUCUUAUAACAUUCCGGGAUUUAUAAAAAUAUUUCGGUAGCUGUCGGAAGAAAUUUUACUGCAAGUUUUUCCCUGAAUUAGUUGAUAUCGGGUAUUUAGGAUUGAAUAUCAGAUUAAAAGGAGGUGUGACAUGUGUCCCAAUAUUCCACCGCCUAUACUCCCUUUCUUCUUUCCUUUUCUAUAUUUCAUCACUUUUAAAACAUCAAGUCUCAGUCUCUCGCAUCUCUCGUUGUUGAGCCUCAACUAGUGUUCUCUUCCUCCUCUCUGCCUUUUCAAUCUUGCAACCGUGUGAUUAAUUAGGAGAGAGUGAAAUUAGGGUUUGGGAUUUUUCAACCAAUCAAAGGUAAUCAUCUCUCGUUUCGAUUAAUUGCGAUUCUUAAACUUGAUUAUAUGCAUAAGUGUGUGUAUACUUGUGUAUGUAUGUAUCUGUGUGGCUGUUCGCUUUAACUGGAGAUGAUGACAACAUUGUUGGUGGUUUGGUGGUGGAGCUGUGGUGUUGAUGUGGUGGUGUAUAUAUAGCUGUGUACAUGUUCUUAGAAUGGGUUUUGUGUAAUUUGAGAUGUGGUAUUAGAAUUGAGUCAAUUGUUGUCAAGCUUCGCAGCGGUAAUGUCCUGUUUUGUAGCUUUGUUCUAGGACUGUUAAGUUCGAUUACUAUGCUUAAUUUUCCUGCGAUUAUAUGCUCCUUGAAGUCUAGAUUAAGUGCGAAAAAGAAUUUCAAAGUUUCGUUAAAUGAGCUAAAAGUUAUGAAUGAAUUAGUGACUCUUUGUCUAGAUGAGAAAAUUCUGCUAUGUGACAUAUGUGUGCAUUGCCCUGUUUUGACAUGUGUACUCCAAACUGACAUAAGAUUAAUUGGUAAAUUGAUUAACUUAUAAUGAUGUUUCUUAAGGUAUAAAAUCAGUACCAAGAGGAAUUAGGUUGAUUGGAUUAAUAAGAUUAAAGUUAUGUUAGAUUUUUUUUAAGAGAUAUACUACAUGAUUAGAUGCUGAGUAAUAUGUUAUGAUUUUGAAGUGUCUUGUAUGCAAAGUCUGUAUAACAUAGAAUAGAAUUAAAAUACCAAACCUCUGAGACUAUAUGCUAUGUGGAAUCAAGGAUCUAUGCCAAGUGGAAUUAAUCAAUUUGGAUUAGUACAUAUUAAGAUAAGAAUUUUUAUGUAUCCGGUGUUAUUAGAGCCCUGCUGUGAUGCUUUCUCUGCACCAUGUUGAACUUUCAAAAUUUAUACUAAAUUAAUUAUGUGUUGGAACUUGUUUGUUUGACCUCUGUAACUUGGCUAUGUGAGUUCUCUAUGAUUUCUAUUCUUUGAGUUUCUUGAUUUGGUGCUUGCUUCUAUUUUAUGAAAAUUGAUCAAGUCAAGUAUGUCAAAACCAUACUACACUGUCCUGUUUUGCUAAAUGAUGCAUUAUGUACUAACUAUAACUGAUUAAAUGGCGAGUCUUUUUGUGUUGAUCAGAUAAUUUCAAGUAUGACGUCUCCUGUUUGUAUUGUCUUGGAAAAUUAUGUAAUCUAGUGUUCUAUAAGUUAGCAAAAUUGAGAGGGUUGUUGCUGAUUUGUAUUAAGAAGUCAACUUAAUUAAUGAUUUCCUGUUUUAUUACUUGAUCACUUUUUGCAUACUAUAUAUGGUUAGAAAGAUCUUGGAAUGCUCUAUCUUUUUUUGUUUAAUGUAUCUAUAAAUGAGAUUUCCGAAUGCUAGUAAAAUGCAAAUCUCUUGGUGUCUGUCCAGCAGUUUAUGGGCUUUAUGAAUUGUCGAGUUAGAAUUAUAUGUAUUGUUCUAUGACUUGCAUCUAGACUUAAAGUUGAAUCAUUGUUUGGCUGAGAUAUGUGAGUUAUUGAUGUGUGAUUGUGUUUUAAUUGAUAAUUGGUUCGGUACUUGUUGGUUUAUUGAGUUGGAUUGGGUUGGUUAUUUGUUGAGUUGUAUAGGGAGUUAGAAAACUGUUUUGUUAAUAACUUUUGAUACGUAAUUCAGAAUCGAGUGAAACGAAAAAGAGGUUAAAGCUUAGAAACUCUAGUUUAAUAUAAUGUAACAAUAUGAUUGAGUUUCCAAUGUGUAUAAAGAUUGUUGAAAAUGCAUAAUGUGACUAUACGUGAUCUAUUUGCUAUAUAGUGAUGAUUAUAUCAAAUACGUAUCCAUUUGAUUUGAUAAACGAUUUGGGAGACAUAGCAUCUUGUCUUGAUUAAUGUUGAAUAAGAAUAUGUAGAUUACAGGAAUUUGAGUUGAUUGAUUGGUCGUUGGUUGAAAUAGGCUGACAGAUGGAUAGUCCUAUAAAUAGACAAGACGCUGUCAGAUUUUCAAUAGGAUUUAUAUGGUUAUUGAGUUGUAGUAUGCUACAUGGAGUAUGAUGUGACUAUAUGAUAAAGUCAAAGCAUGAUUAUAUGUUAAGUGAUACCUGAUAAGUGCAUAGAGAUUAUAUAGGGUGAUAUGUGAUUAUGUGUUAAAUGCUAUCGAUAUAAGUGAUAUGUAUAUGCGAUAGGUUAUGAUACCGAGUUUGAUAAGUAAGAUAAGAAUUAAUAGAUUAUUUAGUAAUUAUGGUAGUAUUUUAUUCUCGUAAAGGAUUUGGACGAGGCGUAUACGACCGAAGACGUUCAGAAAGUCAAACGGUGUUCCAAAGCGAAUGAGGAACGAAUCGAGUAAGUGAAGCAGUGUGGCGAAUAAAGUAUAGCCAGAGAUGGUCUAGAUACUAUGAUAUGCAUAGGUUGUGAGUUGGAAAGAUGAGAUUAAGCUGUGUGUGGAAGCGGAUUUAAGGCAAGUUUUCCUAAAUACUUCCUCACAUAUAUAUAUUGCAUGUUCUGAUUAUUCUGUCCAGACUAUGUUAUUGCUUAUACUGAAACCCUUCUCAAAUAAACUCUUAUUUCUGAGAAUGAAACCCAUGAUUGUUUUCAACUUUCAAGUCUUUGAAAAGCCAAACACCCAAAUACUCUCACUUUCUAUUACAAGUAUUCUGAUCCAUUCUUUCCAAUCCUCAAGAUUUUAAAAAUAUCAGCUUUACAAAUUAAUUCGAAGUUCAGACCGUCAUUGAAGCAUGGGUUGCUCAGUGAUAGUUAGAACCUAGAAUGAGUUGGGAUCUUCUUGAUUAUUCAACCCGCCAUUGUCAUGCUGGUUUAGCAGGCUAAAUUCAGUUGCUUAGCCGAUAAUGGAGGAUACUGAAUAGUUAGGAAUUUCCUGAACUAUGAUUUAUCAAAAGACAGACUGUGGUUUAUGAAAUGUUGAUUCUCAAAAGUUGGUUUGGAAUAUUUCUGUUGUUGAUAAUGAUUAUGAUUCUGUUCUGUUGAUUAAAUUGUCUAUUGAUUUAAAUUGUUAGAAUUGGAUUAGUUUUUAUAAAAUAUGUGGACCAGAUUCGUGGUCAGACCAGAUUCGUGGUCAAUUAUAGGCCAAUGUGUGCCUUGGAUCCAGUAUAGAGAACAGGGCUGUGUGCCAUGUUCGGGGUUAGUGCGUGACUGAUCAGCAGCCUAACCUUUGGUUUUUAAGUAAAAAUGUGAUGAAUCCAAUUCGACAAUUCUUCUGUAAGUUUGAAUUCUGAUUUCAAUUGCUGAUAAGAAUUGUGAAGUUUUCAAUUACAUAUCCUGAACUUGUGAACCCUGAUAAGAUAUUUCAGGACUAUUGUUGCUUAUAUACACUUGCUGAGCAUUGUUGCUCACCCUUGCUAUUCCUUUUUAACCAUUUCAGAAAAGCUUAGAGAUGAAUUGCUUGAUUGAGAUUGCGAGUAUGGCUAAGGCUAAGCGAGGAGUCAGAGUUAUAGAAUAUCCAGAGGACAAGUGGAAUGUCCAGGGAGAUUGUCAAGGUUGGUUCUAGAUAGAAUUGUAUUGAUGAGAUUCAGUUGUAAGUCAUAAUUGAAAUAGAUUGACAGUGAUUCUUCUUAUCGAAGAUGAUCUGAGAUUGUAAGACAUUGUUUAUUGAUAGUGGUUGAUUCUAAUUUCAAUACUGUAACCUGGAUGCGAUCCUGUUUUUAGGGGGUUAAAGUGUUUUCUUUUAAA